rnacentral:rRNA from 1 species
CCUACGGGAGGCAGCAGUGAGGAAUAUUGGUCAAUGGGCGCGAGCCUGAACCAGCCAAGUAGCGUGAAGGAUGACUGCCCUACGGGUUGUAAACCUCUUUUAUAAAGGAAUAAAGUGAGGCACGUGUGCCUUUCUGCAUGUACUUUAUGAAUAAGGACCGGCUAACUCCGUGCCAGCAGCCGCGGUAAUACGGAGGACCCGAGCGUUAUCCGGAUUUAUCGGGGUUAAAGGGAGCGUAGAUGGGUUGUUAAGUCAGUUGUGAAAGUUUGCGGCUCAACCGCAAAAUUGCAAUUGAAACUGGCAGUCUUGAGUACAGUUGAGGUAGGCGGAAUUCGUGGUGUAGCGGUGAAAUGCUUAGAUAUCACGAAGAACUCCGAUUGCGAAGGCAGCUUGCUAAGCUGCCACUGACAUUGAUGCUCGAAAGUGUGGGUAUCAAACAGGAUUAGAUACCCUGGUAGUC